rnacentral:lncRNA from 1 species
UUAAUAUAUACAUAUAUAUAAUAUAUAUAAAUAUAUAAAAUAUAUGAAAAAUUGAUGUGGGUACUCAAAUAAAAGAUCUCGAUGAUUGUAAUAUCGGAGUGAACUUAUACUUUAAAAAUAUCAAUAGUU